CCUACGGGUGGCUGCAGUGGGGAAUAUUGCACAAUGGGCGCAAGCCUGAUGCAGCCACGCCGCGUGUGUGAAGAAGGCCUUCGGGUUGUAAAGCACUUUCAGCGGGGAGGAAGGCGGUGAGGUUAAUAACCUCAUCGAUUGACGUUACCCGCAGAAGAAGCACCGGCUAACUCCGUGCCAGCAGCCGCGGUAAUACGGAGGGUGCAAGCGUUAAUCGGAAUUACUGGGCGUAAAGCGCACGCAGGCGGUCUGUCAAGUCGGAUGUGAAAUCCCCGGGCUCAACCUGGGAACUGCAUUCGAAACUGGCAGGCUAGAGUCUUGUAGAGGGGGGUAGAAUUCCAGGUGUAGCGGUGAAAUGCGUAGAGAUCUGGAGGAAUACCGGUGGCGAAGGCGGCCCCCUGGACAAAGACUGACGCUCAGGUGCGAAAGCGUGGGGAGCAAACAGGAUUAGAUACCCUAGUAGUC
rnacentral:rRNA from 1 species